CAUCCGGAAUGCUCGCCUGGAUUGACUUGUUUAAGGAGAGAUGGAGAAAAUAAAAAAGUGCUUAAUUCAAUUUCCUCAAUAAGAGGAGCUAAGAAAGAAGUCAGUCCAUACGCAGGAGGCGUGCUUGCUGGGGGGACAGGAAUUGAGUUGUCAUUGGGACGGUGUGGUAAUGAACUCUGAGAGCCUGUUUGCCUCCGAUUCCUCUAUUUUGCCAAUUAAGAAAUCAAACCUACAGAAGGAUGAUGCAAUGAAGGAAUACCACACUCUGGAAUACCAACAAGUAGGAGGAAGUUAGAGAGCCACACGCAGGGUCCUAAAAUGAAACAGGAAAAGGAACAUAGCUCUGGUUUUUAUGUCUCAGAUCAGUCUUUGGUCUUGAUCUAUUUUAAAUAAGAAUGAGAAGGCGAUAUGGCAGCCAUAUUUGAAGUAUGUAUGUAGAGUAGGAAGAUGAGGAUUUCUCAUGCCAGAUCGUGAAAAAAGAUAAUGAAGCAGAAUCAGACCUCUGCAGCACCACCAGGAGAUACAAAGCCAUAAAGCAGUGAUGCACACAAAGCAUGUUGUGAUUAGCAAGCUGGUCAUCUUGCCUAGCAGAAUCAGUCACAUCAAAUGGAGCAAGCCUCUGAAGGUUUUAUUGUCUAAGCUAGUGAUUGUGCAAAUACUUGACUUCAAAGAGUGUCUUCAUCCAUGGAAGGAGCACCAUGGAGGCAGUUACUAAGCAAACCUGUAAAGUCGUCAUUAUUAUAAAUCAUUUGUAGGAUCAAGACCAGCACUAUAUGAGUGGAAAGAAAAAAUGCCUAUUGGGUUAUUAUUUUUUAUUUCUAUACUCCUCCAGUAACAAUUUAUACAAGCUCAAAUAUACCAGGGAGCGGAGACUGAGUGGUAGUAACCAGUGGCUGUAGCUAUAUAGUUGUUAUUGCAUAAAGGUGCUUGAAUCUGCUAGGCAUGGAGGUCCCUUUCAGUAUCCUUAGCCUCAUUAACAGAAGCUGGGAUGGUAGCCAUCCCAUUAGAAAAAAUACUGUAUAGAACAGCAAAGACUUCAGAUUUAUUAAAUUGUCUUUUGAUUUAAUACAUGUUCACCUUGUUUUAAUAUCGUCAUUUGACAGAUGGAUUUUAUCUCUGGGAUCAUUUUCCCACCUAAACUGCCAUUCAAAGCAUGCAUUUCAUAUGUACUCUCAAAAGUCUCUUCUACAGUGGCAGGCAUUAGCAUCCAUGCUUACUACAGAAUUUACUAACCGCUUUCAGAUAUUGUGCAUUAUCGCCACAUCUCCUCUGUGUGCAUGUGUGUAGCUAUAUAUGCAUAUGUAUAUAUAUACACACACAUACACAUAUGUGUCUCCUAUAUGUAUAUAUAUUUGUGCAUCUCCUGUACUGGCUUUCAGAUGGUAACAUACGAGCAGAAACUAACUCUUUAAGAAGGCUGUACUCCUUGAAAAAUCUAACUGAAACCAAAUUAUCUGUAACACCAAUCCCUCUUCUAAUAUCAGAAUGCUUUCAUUUUUAUAUUUGUUAAUUCAUUGGUUGUUAGAUUAAUGUCCUGGUUUCAGCUGGAAUAGAGUUAACUGUCUUCCUAGUAGCUGGUACG